GGAGGGAUUCCCGAGUGGCCAAAGGGAUCAGAUUGUAAAUCUGACGGGCUCCGCCUUCGAAGGUUCGAAUCCUUCUCCCUCCACCA
rnacentral:tRNA from 2 species